CAUCCUGGGGCUGUAGUAGGUCCCAAGGGUUGGGCUGUUCGCCCAUUAAAGUGGUACGCGAGCUGGGUUCAGAACGUCGUGAGACAGUUCGGUCCCUAUCCGUCGCAGGCGUAGGAAAUUUGAGAAGGCCUGUCCUUAGUACGAGAGGACCGGGAUGGACGUACCUCUGGUGUACCAGUUGUCCUGCCAAGGGCAUGGCUGGGUAGCUAUGUACGGAAUGGAUAAGCGCUGAAAGCAUCUAAGCGCGAAGCCAACUUCAAGAUAAGA
rnacentral:rRNA from 1 species